rnacentral:rRNA from 1 species
UACGUAGGGGGCGAGCGUUGUCCGGAUUUAUUGGGCGUAAAGAGCGUGUAGGCGGCCAGGUAGGUCUGCUGUGAAAACUCGAGGCUCAACCUCGAGACGUCGGCGGAAACCAUCUGGCUAGAGUCCGGAAGAAGAGAGUGGAAUUCCUGGUGUAGCGGUGAAAUGCGUAGAUAUCUGCAGGAACACCCGUGGCGAAAGCGGCGAGCUGGAUCACUACUGACGCUGAGGAACGAAAGCUAGGGGAGCAAACAGG